UUACCCACUCCCGGCACGGGGAGGUAGUGACAAAAAAUAACGAUACGGGACUCUAUUGAGGCCCCGUAAUCGGAAUGAGUACACUUUAAAUCCUUUAACAAGGAUCUAUUGGAGGGCAAGUCUGGUGCCAGCAGCCGCGGUAAUUCCAGCUCCAAUAGCGUAUAUUAAAGUUGUUGCGGUUAAAAAGCUCGUAGUUGGUUCUGCGUGCCGCGCUGUCGGUUCGCCGCCUGUCGGUGUAACUGGCAUGUCGCGGCAUGUCCUGUCGGUGGUGAACGAGAAUCCUGGUACUGCUUAGGCCUAACGGCCAAAGUUUGUACCGUGGUGUUUUCGUUUGCCGAUUUCUCCUACUCCGGUGCUCUUAAACGAGUGUCGAGGUAGGCCGACACGUUCACUUUGAACAAAUUAGAGUGCUUAAAGCAGGCUAAAAUCUCUGCCUGAAUAGUGGUGCAUGGAAUGAUAAAAUAGGACCUCGGUUCUAUUUUAUUGGUUUUAGGAAUAUGAGGUAAUGAUCAAUAUGGACAGUCGGGGGCAUUCGUAUUGCGACGUUAGAGGUGAAAUUCUUGGAUCGUCGCAAGACGCACUAAAGCGAAAGCAUUUGCCAAGUAUGUCUUAAUUGAUCAAGAACGAAAGUUAGAGGUUCGAAGGCGAUCAGAUACCGCCCUAGUUCUAACCAUAAACGAUGCCAGCCAGCGAUCCGCCGAUGUUCCUUUAAUGACUCGGCGGGGAGCUUCCACCCGGGAAACCAAAGCUUUUGGGUUCCGGGGGAAGUAUGGUUGCAAAGCUGAAACUUAAAGGAAUUGACGGAAGGGCACCACCAGGAGUGGAGCCUGCGGCUUAAUUUGACUCAACACGGGAAACCUCACCAGGCCAGGACAUUGUAAUGAUUGACAGAUUGAUAGCUCUUUCUU
rnacentral:rRNA from 1 species